UACAGAGGUGGCAAGCGUUGUUCGGAAUUACUGGGCGUAAAGGGCGCGUAGGCGGCCUUGUAAGUCUCGUGUGAAAGCCCUCGGCUUAACUGAGGAUCUGCACGGGAUACUGCGAGGCUUGAGUUCGGGAGAGGAAAGCGGAAUUCCGGGUGUAGCGGUGAAAUGCGUAGAUAUCCGGAGGAACACCAGUGGCGAAGGCGGCUUUCUGGACCGACACUGACGCUGAUGCGCGAAAGCUAGGGGAGCAAACAGG
rnacentral:rRNA from 1 species